CUUUACUGUAGCUUUGUAUUGGACUUUGAACGGAUCUGUGUAGGAUAGGUGGGAGGCUUUGAAGUGUGGUCGCUAGAUCACAUGGAGCCAACGUUGAAAUACCACCCUGGUGCGUUUGAGGUUCUAACCCAGGUCCCUUAUCGGGAUCGGGAACAGUGCAUGGUAGGCAGUUUGACUGGGGCGGUCUCCUCCCAAAGCGUAACGGAGGAGUUCGAAGGUACGCUAGUUACGGUCGGACAUCGUGACGAUAGUGCAAUGGCAUAAGCGUGCUUAACUGCGAGACUGACAAGUCGAGCAGAUGCGAAAGCAGGACAUAGUGAUCCGGUGGUUCUGUAUGGAAGGGCCAUCGCUCAACGGAUAAAAGGUA
rnacentral:rRNA from 1 species